CAGGAUGCACAAGUUCACGUCUCCCUUUAGAGGAAGUCUGCAGUCCAGAUCAGCCAAGGACUGGAGUGCAAGUCUGCUUAAUUCAGGACUGGGAAAGGCAUUGACAGCAAAUAAUAAUAUGGUAAUAAUAAUUAACAUACAUUAAGAACUUAGUAUGUGUCAGGCCCUGCUCUAGAACUUUCCAUGAAUGAAUCAUUUAAUCUUCAAAACAGUCCUGCGAAAACUGGCUGAAGUUUACUUUUUGGUACUCCAGAGACCUAGCUUCUUCUUGCCUUCUUCCAGUGUGGUCUAUUUAAUCUCCUGUCGUGUGGGAAAUUAUGUUCAAAAUCUCCGUGAUCCUCUGUCCAUAGUAAGUUAUGCAUGUAGUGACAAGUACAUGCCACAAGGUCUUGAGAUUAUAUCUGCAAUGUGUUGCUGCUGGCUGUUGAUCAAGAUAGGCUGGAAGAAAAACAUUAUUUUCAGGUGUGAAAAACCGUCACCUUUAUCAAAUAAUUUUUCUUGCAUUUUUCCCAAGACGUUGUAGCCUAUUUAAACUUGGAAGGUUAAGUUUGUAGCAUUCAUUAUGACUGAAAAUUUAGUUCACACAAUCAUGAUGCUCUCUUUAUUAGGUGUUACUGUUAAACAAUAUUAAAAUA